rnacentral:rRNA from 1 species
UACGUAGGGUGCGAGCGUUAAUCGGAAUUACUGGGCGUAAAGCGUGCGCAGGCGGUCUUGUAAGACAGAUGUGAAAUCCCCGGGCUCAACCUGGGAACUGCGUUUGUGACUGCAAGACUCGAGUGCGGCAGAGGGGGGUGGAAUUCCACGUGUAGCAGUGAAAUGCGUAGAGAUGUGGAGGAACACCGAUGGCGAAGGCAGCCCCCUGGGUCGACACUGACGCUCAUGCACGAAAGCGUGGGGAGCAAACAGG